rnacentral:tRNA from 1 species
GUGGAGCUAUGGCUCAGUGGUAGAGUGCUUGCCUAGCAUGUGUGAGGCACUGGGUUCGAUUCUCAAUACCACA